UGGGUGGAUGCUCAUUGGUUUGGGCGCUUAACUGUUAAUUAAGAAAUUGUAGGAUCGAGGCCUGCCCACUCAG
rnacentral:tRNA from 1 species